rnacentral:tRNA from 1 species
AUUAUUUUGGCAGAAUAGUGCGAUUGAUUUAGAAUCAUUAUAUGUAAUUAGUUACAAAUAAUA